AGGGAGCAAAAGGAUGCUUUAUUUUACCUCAGCAAAUAGAGUCUGUCUCUUCAUUACAGGCUUUUGACAAGCUAUCCACAAUUUAUGUGGAGGGUCUUUUGCAUCUCUUGCAACUUCCUGAUGCAGAAAAUGUGUUCUUUCAAGUGUUUUUCCACAGGGAGAUACUGGCUGGGGAACAGCCACCAGAGAGUAAACUAUUCUUCCAAUAAGUCUCAAGUGGCUACAUGGGAAUAACCAUUGUGCUUAAUCUCAUCAUGCUCUCAGAGAGGUAACAUCAGACACAGUUGGAGGCGAGAGUCUUACAAAAGAGGCAUCCCUGCUUGGGAAGAAGAGAGGUCCAGGCCCAUCAAUCCAUCCAAUAAUUGGAGUUCUCAUCCUCAAAAAUAGGGGAUUUCUGAAAACCAGAUUUAUACUUUUGGCAAGGUAGGAGUAAGUCAUUUGUUGUGUGCUGAUUGGCUCUCAACAAAGCUUGUUGAGUUGUUUAGUAAGGAAGGAAAAAGGAGGAGGGGUUGAGGCCAACAUUUGGUACAUUUAGUUGCUUUCCCAGCUUUAUUUGGAACAACAUCAGGAUGUGAGGCUUCCAUCUCAUCCCAGACAUUGCUUAUUUGCUGUGGCUGAUGGGCCUAUUGUUCAGCUGCAAACCUCCAACAUCUGUCCUGUACUUUGGCCAGCAAGAUAUGAGAAAGGUCAAAUAGUCUCACGAUGUGGUUUGCGUGUUAGCACUGAGUCAUCUGUGCAGUUCCUGAAGAAUUCAUUUGGAGGAGAAAGCAGAAGAAGCUGCCCUGAGUCACCACAUCUGAUCUGCCAGAAUUACACUGAGGAGAGUGAACACCUCCAAGUCUGGUGUAAAUCUCGCUGCUGCUGAACAUCUGGCUGGUGGUGUGCAAGAAAUCAAAAUAAUGACUUAGAGAGGUAUCCCUCACCAUUCAGCAGCAGUGCAGGAGGUUUGGUAUACACCUCCUGUAGGGCUGAUGCUGUGUGAUACAAGAAGUUAUCAGUGUUAUUUUUCUGAACAAAAGAAAUCUUGUGUCCAUCUUUUUUUUUUUUUGGUGGGGGGGGGAAUUGGGGAAUAUUUUUUAUUGAAC
rnacentral:lncRNA from 1 species